rnacentral:rRNA from 1 species
CAGCCGCCACGGUAAUACGGAGGGAGCUAGCGUUGUUCGGAAUUACUGGGCGUAAAGCGCGCGUAGGCGGUUAUUUAAGUCAGGGGUGAAAGCCCGGUGCUCAACACCGGAACAGCCCUUGAGACUGGAUAACUUGAAUCCAGGAGAGGUGAGUGGAAUUCCGAGUGUAGAGGUGAAAUUCGUAGAUAUUCGGAAGAACACCAGUGGCGAAGGCGGCUCACUGGACUGGUAUUGACGCUGAGGUGCGAAAGCGUGGGGAGCAAACAGGAUUAGAUACCCCAGUAGUCCCUGUCUCUUAUAC